AAAGGAGAAGCUCAGAGCAGAAGAAUCAUGAGAAAUAAAUAGAUCAAAGAGAGGAGAGAAAUAUUUCUCAGCAUGAAAUUAACUAGCUGCUUCUUUUCUUCCUGGGAUUUACUCUUGGAGCAGAGACAUCUAGUGCAGGAAACAAGCCUCAAGAAAUGUUGCAUGGCUUGGUCUUUCAUGUGACUCAGAAGAGGCAAAAGUGAAAUCUGAACUCACGCUGACUCUAAAGUCUGUGCCCUCAGCCAUUAGGUUUUGUAGCCUUUCCACUCCUUCUGUUUUGCUUCCCUGUCUGGGCUCCUUCCUAGUUCAAGAUGGACAGCCAUCCAUAAGUUCCACGUCACAUCUGUCAUCCUGCGUUCAAAGCCCUCCACAGUCUGAAUCUAUUCUGCCCUUACUACUCCCAUGCUCAGGUUUUCUUCUGCAGCUGACCAGGUCUGUUUAUCUUGCAAGUCCCAACCUGGCACCUCUGCAGCACUCCACAUCACAGCACUUUCUGCUCAAGGAGUUCUCCUCGUCCCAGCCUCCUCCUGCUUCCUCACCCACCUUAUUCACAUCCCCAGCCCUCUCGCUCUGCCAGGGCCAGCGAAGACUUAUUCCCUCCAUGAAGCUUCUCCAUCUACCCAGGCCUCAGAGAUGCCCACUUCCUUUAGGGUGAAGAACUUGUUCUUUGGGCUGCUGAUCUGUCCGUUAACCACAUGCUACUUUACGAUACUGUUAAUAUUACCGACUUCACUAUUAAUUUUUCAUGUGCUACCGCUUUGUCUCCACAAUUAAGAUUAUAAGCUCCUUGAGUGCCAA